ACUUCUGCUGCGGUGUAGUGUAGAGGGAGAGCUGUAACAAACAUACAACAUUUUACAUGGGUCAGUUACCUCAUACCAAUGUUGGCUUGCCUCAGACAGGAAGUAUGCUGACAGACUUCAGAAAGUGUGAUUCUGUGCACAAUGCAGUACCUCAUUUGUAUUUAAGGUGACAUUGGGCUUGUCCUCGGGCGGCAGCAAACACAGUAGCUGACAUCAAGCUGAGAGUUACGGGCACAGCAGCCACCCCUGCUACCUGAGGAGACACAGAACAACUGGGACAUCAACAGUUUGGUCUACACUCUCAGAGAAAUGAAAAUUUGGCAGUACGUCCAACCGGCCUCACAACCGCAGACCAUGAGUAACCACGCCAGCCCUGGACCUCCAAAUCCGGCUUCUUCAAUUACGGGAUCAUCAUAGGGGGUCUCCUGCUGCACCACCCUCUUCUGUGGUUUCUACAACACCCCAUCCCUCACAACCUGCCACUAACUUCAUACCCCUCCCCUCAACUCGCACCUCUGCCCGUGCAUGCACCACAGCUGCCCGCAAGACACAUCUGUAUAUCCUUGGGGGUACACUGAAGGAUGAGAAUAAUGAAGUAACAGAGGGAAAAAAACAACCAUUAGAGAAUGGAACCUGCCCAAAAUUAGACAAGAGAAAAAGACAUGGAAGGAAGUAUUGUGAAGCACCCCAGAUAGUUGUGCCAUUGGGACUGAAGGAAGACUCCAGUGAGGAUUCCCUCUCAGAUUUUGAGUGGGAAGAGGAAGCAGUGAAACUGCUCGUGGACAAGGCAGCUUGCUCUGGACAAUGUGAUGCCCACCUGAAACUACUGUAGAACUUCAACUGGAAAAGACUAAAGGAUACAGAAUUAAAAUGACUAUGGGUAGCAUUACCCUGCUCCACUCAUAUGGGUGGGUUAGUUUUCUGUUCUUUCUUUGCACACAAAUCGU